rnacentral:rRNA from 1 species
UACGUAGGUGGCAAGCGUUGUCCGGAUUUAUUGGGCGUAAAGAGCUCGUAGGCGGCUUGUUGCGUCGGCUGUGAAAUCCCAUGGCUCAACUGUGGGCUUGCAGCCGAUACGGGCGGGCUAGAGUUCGGUAGGGGAGACUGGAAUUCCUGGUGUAGCAGUGAAAUGCGUAGAUAUCAGGAGGAAUACCGAUGGCGAAGGCAGGUCUCUGGGCUGACACUGACGCUCAUGCACGAAAGCGUGGGGAGCAAACAGG